rnacentral:rRNA from 1 species
GACGAACGCUGGCGGCGUGCUUAACACAUGCAAGUCGAGCGGUAAGGCCCUUUCGGGGGUACACGAGCGGCGAACGGGUGAGUAACACGUGGGUGACCUGCCCUCAGCUCUGGGAUAAGCCUGGGAAACCGGGUCUAAUACUGGAUAUGACUCCAUGACGCAUGUUGUGGGGUGGAAAGCCUUGUGCGGCUGAGGAUGGGCCCGCGGCCUAUCAGCUUGUUGGUGGGGUGANGGCCUACCAAGGCGACGACGGGUAGCCGGCCUGAGAGGGCGACCGGCCACACUGGGACUGAGACACGGCCCAGACUCCUACGGGAGGCAGCAGUGGGGAAUCUUGCGCAAUGGGCGAAAGCCUGACGCAGCGACGCCGCGUGUGUGAAGAAGG